rnacentral:lncRNA from 1 species
AACAGAUGAGGGGAGCCAUUUUUCUGCAAUGGAAUUAAAUGGCCAAGUGGGUUUUUCCUUUGUUGCAAAUGGGGAAUGCUUUUCCUUUGACUCCACCAUCCAGUUCAGGACGCCUCAGUGUUGUGUUUAACAUUUGUCAACAGGCUAAAGGACUCACAAUUGGAAGAAUGAAGAAGACUUUUUAAAAAGAUCUGGAUUUUUCCUUAUGACUUGGAAUCCAUCUUUGUCUUGUAUAACUAGGUCAUAGCACACCAUUAAUGUCAGCAGUUAACAAUUUUGAAUUCCAAAAAACCUAAGUAAAUGACAUAUUUAAUUUUUUUCCUCUUUUUUUUCUUGGGUGGGUGGGGGGAGCUUGGAGCUGUCUUAAUCUGUAUUCUCUUGACUGAACAAUAAAUUUUUAAAUAUAUAUAGUUUCCUCUAUUAAACACUUAAACCUGGCCAUCUUAUUAACUCCUUCUGCUCUCUUUUUAACAAGGUAAUGUUUUAAAUGUAUAGUUUUAGGACUAGCGAAAUGGCAGCAACAAAAAAUUGUAAGCAGUUGUUACUUUUAAGCUUUUAAAAAACCUUUUACGUUGUAAGUACCCAAUCCAUUCUGUCCUUACGCAGUGCAGUUUUCAUGUUAAUGUUGCUGAGAUGUCCUUAAUUUUCUGAACCUUCAUCUGCAUGUAUGUCUUUGUCGCUCUUGUCUAAUAUAAGCCAGUUAAAAUGCUUUUAGACGAUUUUGCUUUUAUAAAGCUAAGGUUUUUUAGCUUUAAGCUUUUGAAAAUGUUUAAAGCAAUAAAUGCUAGUCAGCUUUCUUCCCAGUAACAUGUACACGUUCUUUGAAAAUCGAUCUAUUUGAAGAAAAACAGCUCUGUUUUUCUCGUCUUGGUAGGGGGGUGGGUGAGGGAAAGGAAGACCUUCUCUUUGUGUACAGAGUCUAAAGCCGUCACAGGAAACUAGAUUAAAACUGGAAAACAAGUCCUAGCUGGUUGGAGCCAAACACCAACGUUAACUCGCGGGUAUUUUCUAUGGUGGUUGGGAUGGCCGUGCGUCUUUUGCCUUUUGUUUGAUUUGACUGUGUAUUUUCGCCUUUUGUCUCUUAAUGACGAUCACACCAUUGCUAUAUCCAGAGCAGUAAACAGUCCUCAGCGAAGCCGCCUUUUGCCAACCCAACCCUGGAAAGUUUGCAGAAGUGGAAGGAGCAGAAAAUGCCAUGAGAGUGUAACUUACAAAAAGGU